AAAGCAUGGUGAGGGAAUUUCUUAAGAAUCUACUUAAAUCUCUCCCAACUUUCAUAAAUAGAUUCUCCUUCAGACUGAGCAAAAGAAAUGAUAUCAUUUCUAAGUCU